rnacentral:tRNA from 1 species
ACUUAUCUAGUAUAAAUAGUAUAUUUGGCUUCCAACCAGAAGGUUUGAAAUUUCAAGAUAAGUA